rnacentral:lncRNA from 1 species
GGUUUUCCCACAUGAGUGAACGUGUAGCAGAAGAGAGGAUCCUCUCAGUGAUUAAGGUAAAUAGGGGAGGAAAGGAUGACUUUGCCCUAACUCCUAUCAGGGAGGCUCUUAGAAAUGUCAUUUCUGGGUGUCAAUACUUUUACUUUCUUUUUAAAUUUUGUUUGUUUGUUUGUUUGUUUAUAUUCAAGUUAGUUAACAUACAGGGUAAUUACGAUUUCAGGAGUAGAACCCAGUGAUUCAUCUCUUGCAUAUGACACCCAAUGCUCAUCCCGAAAAAUGCCCUUCUUAAUGUCCAUCACCCAUGUAUAGCCCACACCCCCCCCAACCACAUCAAGCCUCAGUUUGUUCUCUGUAUUUAAGAGUCUCUUAUGGUUUGUCUCCCUCUCUGUUUUUAUCUUAUUUUUCCUUCUCUUCCCCUAUGUUCAUCUGUUCAGUUUCUGAAAUUCCACAUAUGAGUAAAAUUAUAUGAUAUGUCAUUCUCUGACUUGUCUUGCUUAGCAUAAUACCCUCCACUUCUAUCCAUGUUUUUGCAAAUGGCAAGAUUUCAUUCUUUUUCAUCGCCGAGUGGUAUUCCAUUUUACAUAUGUAUAUAUAUAUGGUAUAUAUAUAUAUAUCACAUGCCUUUAAAGCCUGUAGUUUAUUCUGUAAUACAUUUUUCUUGAAACAAUUGGGGUAAAUUAUCUUGUUUACCCAGUCUGUAAUCACCCCUGCAGAGGAUCAGAACUAAAAUGGUUGCCAAGUAAACUAGGCAACAUAAGCUACAGUCACAAAUAAAGGCAGGACACUAAUUAUACUCCUCUUAAGGGGAGAGUGUCUUUUUAACCAGACUUGUUGAGAGUUUUUAUCAGACAGUGGAGCUACAUCUUGUCGAAAGUCAGCUCAUAGCAGAGGCUCCAUAUUUCAGCGGUAGCCAAGUUAGUAAUUUCAGAGAUAGCAGUGUCUUCUGGAUUGCACUUAAACCAAUUGGACUAGUGUUCAUUUUGGACUCCUAAGGGAUCAGCCCCCUGAUGGGAUCCAGGGAGCAUUUAAAUGGUCCAUAGUUAAGAGAAGAGAGGCACAAAAUCAGGUUCUUUGCUGACACUGGUCUAGUCUGGGGCCAAUAAAGCCCCUGUGUUUUGGACACCACUUUGAGUCUGAUACACCACUGAAAAGUGCUCUUCUGGCACCACCCUUGAACUCAUUACCUCAGAUGUCCGGAUCAGUGGGUCCAAAUCUUGGUAGACCACUUUCACUCACUUUGUCUGAACCUAAGAAUCUGCAAUCAUGGCACGGACAAGCCAACCCACAUGGAAUACCUACAACGCAGAAAGACUUUUGCCCUCAGUGGAGCACAGGCACCAGGUCCUCUCCUUUCAUUCAUUUUCCUCCUCCUUCCUAACACAGAGCUAGACACCCAGUAAAUAACCCCUUCACACGUGCAGCACAGCAGUUAACAAAGGCUUCAGUAAGAAAGUGCCUUUGUCAGAGUUGGCCUGCUGACCCCAGUGUUGGAGGAGAUUAUUGACACGACGUGACCACUGGUUGACCCUUGAGCUUGACCCAGGCAAAUGGAGGUUCCUCACUCUUUCCCUGUCCUUGGAGUGUACAGUUUCUGCACUAGGAACUGUUUCAAGGAUGGAGCCUUGAAAAGGUAAGGUGUGGUAUAGACCGUCUGGAUGGCACAUGUGACUGAACCACGUUAAGGCCUCUAUACCUACAAACCUUUAAGACUCUGGCAGAGGGGUACAGACAUCUGCUAGUCUCUGGCUGCCCGAGACAAGCCUCAUAAGUUCCCUUGCUUAUUAAAACCACUGCCUACCAAUCUGGAGUGGUCUACCUCUUUCAGCAGUUUCCUUUGCCCCAUGCGUAUAUGGACCAGCUGGGAACCAACACUCAGACACUAGGGGAGGUCAGGUCUUUCUGCUGCAUCACUGGUAGGCGGGGCUGAGAACGGGCAGGAGUGACUGCCAUACAGCAGACUCAGGCUGCGGGCCAGCCUGGUGGGACCAGCUGGCCUAGGAGAGCCAGUCACACGGCUUGACCUGUGGCUGCCACCAUGAUCAGGGCCAUCCUGAGAGGUAGCUUUUGCCCUCAUGGACAGGGAAAGACCAGAAGGUCACAACCCAUCUCAUCAGAGAAAAGGGAGGCAGGGAAUGAAAACACAACACUGCUGGUAAGCAGAUCUCUGCCACAAACCUUGGCAGAGCACACACCUUUCUGAAGAGCCUGAGCCUGUACAAGCCAAGACAUAAACAAGUACAGAAUGUCCCCUUCAUCAUUUCACCUAUAGGUGGGGUAGGUAGUCUAAGGAGUUCACACAGGGAUCAGGGCAAAAAGUUGAUGGGGGAGGGGCGGUAAAUAAGGUUCCAGAAAGGUAAAAUAGGACUAGAAGAAUUCACCGUGACUGGUCAGUUCUCUGUCACCUUAUACCAUGAUCACAAUUCAAAUUUAAUCACUCAUUUUAAAAUCGACUUUAAACUAUUAAAUCUUUUCUACAACGGAAACAAAAAGGUCCAUAGUUAAAGUAGGAGGCAUCUAUAAUAUGGCCAUUCCUGGGAGAUCUCUACAGAGCCCAUCCCUACUUUAAGCUAGUAAUGCCUCCAUCCAGAGUUAAUAACCAGAAUGCCAGUAUCUGCCAUUUUUCAUAAAAGUAAUAAAGGUCACCUUUUCCCAUGAGGAUGGUUUUGAGAUGGUGCCUUCAUAGCAUAAUGUUCCUCUGGAAUAUUUGGAUAAUUCUAUUGACAGAAUUCGAGAAUUAGCCUGCACGAGGAACCUGAAUGAUAGGAAAAUUGUCUUUUCACUAGGGAGAAGCCUGGGAUAGUACAAAGGGAUUUCCCACAUUCCGUGUAUAUUACAGCUUACUUUAAAAUGACAUUGGUCUUUGGGUAUCUGGAUGGCUCAGUCGAUAAGCAUCCAACUCUUGAUUUCGACUCAGGUCAUGAUCUCACAGUUCGUGGGAUCGAGCCCCACAUUGGGCUCUGGACUGACAGUGUGGAGCCUGCUUGGGAUUCUCUCUCUCCCUCUCUCUCUCUGCCCCUCUCCCACUUGUACUUAACUACCUACCUACCUAACAUUGGUCUUGUAUAAGGAUAGGAAUGUUAGUAUGCUGUCCAAAAAAAAAAAGGUCUCCCUGUCUCUUUCUUUAUAUGGGCCAAAACGGGUUGUAUAAAUCUGGCUUUUGCUCUCUGAAUCCCAGUUUUUUCCCUGGGAUUUCCCUAUCCUCAUUAUCCAUUCUUUACUUUUGUGACAGCUGGGUCUGUUGCGGUUUUUUUUUUCUUUUGUCUUUCUGUUUAGGCUAGUCAUCACUCCCAUAGUAACACCCAUGCACAAUUUUUGAAAAUUUUCUUCCUGAGGUCAUGUAAUAUCAAUAACAAUGAUUAUUCAGUUAGUUAUCAGUGUCUUUUAUGUUCUAGGCAAGUGUUUUACACAUAUUUGUUGUCUCAUUUUAACUUAAUAGUAAUUCUGGGAUGUAUGAUUUGUUCCUACUUUACAGAUAAUAAAACUGAGGAUCAGAGAGGUGAUGGCCACUAGCAUGCCACUAGGAGCCAGUGGUGGAGCUGUAUUGUGUCAUACUCUAAAGAUCUUGACUACCUUACUCUACUUGAAGUGGUAGAAUAUGACAAGCAUAUUCUUAGUUUUUGGGACCACCUGCCUCCUUAUGGGAUCCUUGUCACUGUCUUCUUCCAGGACAUAGGGGCAUAUGUGAAGGGUUUGUUAUCAAACAUUUAUUUAUUUUUGGGAGAACGCAAGUGGGGAGGGACAAGAGGGAGACAGAGGAUCCGUAGUGGGCCCUGCACUGAUAGGCUGACAGCCGCAAGCCCAAUGUGGGGCUCGAACUCACGAACUGUGAGAUCAUGACCUGAGCCAAAGUCAGACGCUCAACCGACUGAGCCACCCAGGUGUCCUGUGAAGAGUUUGUUUUCAAAGGGAGGUUCAGAUGUGCAAGAGGGAUGGUGUGAGGGAUGUGUGGAUCCCUUUAGUUUCUAAAGAUGACCACUUUAGAUGAACUAGCAUCACAGCUAUUCACUGUGUGCUUAUCUUUGUCUUUUUACUUUUUAUUAUAACCCCCACCCUCCUGCAUAAUGUUUAUGUUGGAUGAUUUCCAUGAGGUUAUACUUUCUUCUACACCAAACAAAAAGGAAUUGCAAGAGUCAGAGUCACAACUGAAAAUCCAUUGCUUGCAGAAUUAACUCAGGUACAGGCUCAUCAGGGGCUGGAGCAGCUUGCUGUGCAUGUCAGGAUGUCCCAGCUGGAAUUCAGCAUAAAUAGUGCAUUCUGUUAGCAGACAAUACUGAUAAAAUUACUCUGUAUCAAGUGGAAAAUAAUAGGGAUACCUAUCAAUUAAUACUUAUGUAAAUUUUAUUGCUGGUGAGGUGUCCAGAUAGUUGGCAUAGGCUAAGGUUUGGCAAGGUGUGGCCCACUUGCUGGCUGCCUGUUUUUGUAAAUAUAAUUUUGUUGGAACACAGAAUCAUGCUGAUUCUCUGUUGUCUGUGGUUGCCUUUUGUGCUACAGUAGAGUUGAGUAUUUGCAAUGGACUGUAUGGUCCACAGCCUUAAGCAUUAUCAUCUGGCCCUUCACUGAAAAUUUGCCAAUUCCUGGGGCACCUGAGUGGCUCAUUCGUUAAGUGUCUGACUUCAGCUCAGGUCAUGAUCUCACAGUUCGUGAGUUAAAGUCCUACAUCAGGUGAAGCUUAUGCCCCACUUUGGGUGAGCCCCACUUCUCUCUCUCCUUCUCUCUCCCUACCUGGGGAGACAUGUCUAGAAAAGUUUUGAUAAGGCUGAUGUGAAAGAAAUUACUGCCUGUGGUUUCCUCUAGGAUUUUUAUGGUUUCAGGUCUCAAUUUAGGUCUUUAAUCCAUUUCAAGUUUAUUUUUGUAUAUGAUGUAAGAAAGUGGUCCUGUAUCAUUCUUUUACAUGUAGCUGUCCAGUUUUCCCAGCACCAUUUAUUGAAGACACUAGCUUUUUCCCAUGGUAUAUUUUUGCCUUUUUUCUCAUAGAUUAAUUUACUGUAUAAUUGUGGAUUUAUUUCUAGGUUCUCUAUACUAUUCCCUUGGUCUAUGUGUCUAUUUUUGUGCCAGUACUAUACUGUUUUGAUUACUACAGCUUUGUAGUAGUAUCUUGAAAUCUGGGAUUGUGAUACCUCCAGCUUUGUUCUUUCUCAAGAUUUCUUUGACUAUUUGGGUCCUUUGGGGUUCCAUACAAAUUUUAGUAUUAUUUGUUCUGGCUCUGUGAAAAAUGCCAUUGCUACUUUGAUAAGGAUCACAUUGAAUCUGUAGAUUUCUUUGGAUAGCAUGGACAUUUGAACUAUUCUUCACCACAUGAGCAUGGAACAUGCUUCCAUUUGCUUGUGUCACCUUCAAUAUUUUUUAUCAGUGUUUUAUAGUUUUUAAAGUACAGGUCUUUCACCUCCUUGGUUAUGUUUAAUCCUAUUUUAUUAUUUUGCGUACUAUUGUAAAAGGAUUGUUUUUAAUUUCUCUUACUGCUAUUUCAUUAUUAGUGUAUAGAAACAGAACCAAUUUCUGUGUAUUAAUUUUGUACCCUGCAACUUUACUGAAUUCAUUUAUUCUGAUAGUUUUUUGGUGAAAACUUUAGGAUUUUCUAUGUAAGGUAUCAUGUCAUCUGCAAAUAGCCAAAGUUUAAAUUCUUCCUUACCAAUUUGGAUUCCUUUUAUUUCUUUUUCUUUUCUUUUUAACUUUUUAAAUCUUUAUUCAUUUUUGAGAGAGAGAGCGUAAGCAGAAGAAGGGCAGAGAGAGAGGGAGACACAGAAUCCAAAGCAGGCUCCAGGCUGCAGGCUCCAAGCUAUCAGCACAGAGCCUGACACAGGGCUCAAACCCACGAACUACAGGAUCAUGACCUGAGCCGAAGUUGGGCACUUAACUGACUGAGCCACCCAGGCGUCCCAUAUUUCUUUUUAUCUGAUUGCUGUUGUUGUGUUGAAUACAAGUGGUGACAGUGGACAUCCUUGUCUUGUUCCUGUUCUUAAGGAAAAGCUCCCAGUUUUUCACCAUUGAAUAUGAUGUUAGCUGUGGGUUUUUCGUAUGUGACCUUAUUUAUGUUGAGAUAUAUUCUCUUUAAAAAUUUUUCUAAUGUUUUUACUUAUUUUUGAGACAGAAAGAGACAGAGCAUGAGCAGGGGAGGGGCAGAGAGAGAGGGAGACACAGAAUCUGAAGUAGGCUUCAGGCUCUGAGCUGGCAACAGAGAGCCCGACGUGGGGCUUGAACCUCACGGACUGUCAGGUCAUGACCUGAGCUGAAGUCGGACGCUUACCUGACUGAGCCACCCAGGCGCCCCUAGAUAUAUUCUCUUUAAACCCACUUUGUUGAGAGUUUUUAUCAUGAACAGAUGUUAAAUUUUGUUAAGUGCUUUUUCUGCAUUUAUUGAGAUGCUGUUAUAAUUUUUAUCCUUCGUUUAGUUAAUGUGUAUUACGUCGAUUGAUUUGUGAAUAUUGAACCAUCCUUGUAUCCCUGGAAUACAUGCCACUUGAUCAUGAUUAAUGUUCCUUUAAUCUAUUACUGAAUGCGGUUUGCUGUUGCCCUAUAGUUCUCUUUUUUUGUAGCAUCUUUGUCUGGGUUUGGUAUGAUAGGUUUUUCUUUGCAUGACUUGGAAUAUUUAUGUCAUUUUUUCUUAUCCUUACUUUAUCAGUUCUAGUGUUUAUGUUCUUCACCAGCAUAUGUAUUCUCUGCUACUUAGGCCCAUAAGUGAGUCUAAUAUAGAGGUUACCUUAGAUGGAAACACUGUCCUUAGUCAAGGUAGGAGGCAGUGGUUUUGGUAAUUUGCUGUGUCAAAACCUAAAUUUCUCAUUCAGGAUAGGAGGAAUUAAUCCAUUGCUAUGUAAAAAUGAGAUCUGGACAAAGGAACAGCCAUCUCAGUCAAGUAAGUGAUUAUUUUGACAUGGAAGUAAAUAUUUUUCUUUGACCUUUUGUUGUAUGUGUUCUAUUUAAUAGUUUUCUUAGUAAUGAACCUACCUUGCAUCUCUAGAAGAAAACUUUUUACUUUUUAAUGAUUUUGAAUUAGGUUUCCUAAAUUUGCUAUUUUUAAUGUUAUUUUCUGUUUUAUUUUUUACUCUUUUGUUUCUGUUUAACAGUGAGUUUUUGGUUAGGGUGGCAGUCUUUGUCAGGUGUUGAAGUUAGGGUCAUUAAUGAAAUCUUGUUUCCUGAUCUUUUAAAUUUAGCAGAUCUCAAACAUGUUCCAUGCCAUUAAAUAUGGUUUAGAUAUGGUUUAGGGGCACCUGGGUAGUUCAGUCGGUUAAGUGUCCUACUUCAGCUUAGGUCAUGAUCUCACGAUUUCAUGAGUUCAGGCCCUGCGUUGGGCUCUGUGCUGACAGUUCAGAGCCUGGAGCCUGCUUUGGAUUCUGUGUUUCCCUCUCUCUCUGCCCCUCCCCAGCUCAUGCUCUGUCUGUCUCUGUCUCUGUCUCUCUCUCUCUCUCUCAAAAAUAAACAGAAGUCCUCGAAGUCUUCCAAGUAGAGAGAAUUGCUUGAACUUUUUAAAUUAAAAAUAUGAGUGACUGUUUUCAUCUGGAACUUGAUAGUAAUGUCACUAAUUAAAAAUAGGAUAUAUGAUAUAUUUUAACUGAGACCAACACCUUAACACCCAAAAAGAACUUCUGCAUCACUAAAGAAGAAAAAUGUCUUGCCGGGAACAAGCUAAGGAAACAAUUGUACCACCUCCCUACCUUAUUGAUUGAUUGAUUGAUUGAAAGGUACCCUCUCAAAAACAAAACAAAAUGACUUGCUUAGCUAGGAAGAUGCAUUUUUUUCCCUUAAAGACCAGCUUGACAUUUUGUUCUAAGUCAAAAGUAGUUACUAAGCUCUGUUUAUGUUCUAUAGAUGUAACCUCAUUUAUUGAUAGCUCUAAUCCAGUGAUUUUUUACAAAUCUUGACAAUAACACACCAAAACAUCCAAUUGUUAUUAAUGUAAAUAUGUGUUACAUAUAAUUGUGGUUGAAAAUGCAAUUUUGAAACAUGGAGGAAAAUACAUGAUUUGGCAUCUCAAUAUCACAAAAUAGGUGGGAUGUUGGGGGUCACUAGAUCACAGGUCUCAGCAUAUAGUUGUACUCACAGCUGAGAUUUAUUAUAGCAACAUAGUAAGGAUAUACAGCCUUUCUUUUUUUUAAUUUUUUAAGUUGAUUUAUUUAUAUUGGGAGCAAGUGAGCAGGGGAGGGGCAGAGAGGGAGAGAGAGAGAAUCCCAAGCAGGCUGUGCUCUGUCAGCGCAGAGCCCCAUGCAGGGCUCGAAGUCACAAACCACGAGAUCAUGACCUGAACUGAAACCAAGAGUCAGACGCUUAACUGACUAAGCCACCAAGGUGCCGCAGUGUACAGCCUUUCUAAGGUUAUUGAAAGGGAAGAAGGUGCAGGAGGGUGUGGAGGAAUCCCUAUGCAGUCCUCUUUCUGCUCUCCCUCCCGUGAGCAGUCACACAGAGUACAUCCUCCAGCAAUAGAAAUGCAGCAACUUGUGUGCAAUGUUUCUGCCAGGGAAGCCUGUUAUAGAGACUCAACAGGAAAGGUUUUUAUUGUGGACUGGUCACAUAGGUACUGUCUUGUUUAGCAGGUACCAAAAUUCCACUUUCCAGAAGGAAAGUAGGUGUUCAGCAUGAUCCACAUUAUUUAUACCAGUAACCUAGAUACAGUGAGCCACUCUUACUAGUUAGGGAAAGUUUUCUACCAGCAUAGGGACCUGUUUACCCAUAAAGUUCCCAGAUGCCAGCCAAGGCUAACCUUGAGAAGCAGGCCUUUCUGAGAUAGUAGUCUUAGGGUUGCUUACAUUAACUUUUCUCUGUGUACAUGCAUUGGAUGUAUAAUAAAAGAUCAAAAUAAGAGCAUUCUAUAAUUGACCACAUUCAGACCCUGUUUAAGGGAAGAGGGUGGGCCACUUCGAUAGGAAGAAGUUUAAAUACAUGAUUUCCAUUUUGUUGGGGACAUGUGAAAAAAUUGAGAGUGCCUAUUUGGGACUUUUUUAUGUCAAAGAGUGAUCUAAGCUUAUUUGUAAACUUUUUUUAACAAAAUCUUUGAUAUAUUCACUAUUUUUUGCUUCCUUUUUUUUUCUCGUACUGUUGCAAAAGUUAACUGUGAAAAGUGUGAUAAUUCCUUUGUGCAUCAUUCCUUCCCCACACAUGACUUUGGAAUUUGACAUUCAAGAAACUGUUCUUUAAGAAAUAAGUCAAGGGGCGCCUGUGUGGGUCAGUUGGUUAAGCGUCCAACUUCAGCCUAGGUCAUGAUCUCGCAGUUCGUGAGUUCGAGCCCCAUGUCAGGCUCUGUGCUCACAGCUCAGAGCCUGGAGCCUGUUUCGGAUUGUGUCCCCCCUCUCUUUCUCUGUCCCUCCCCCAUUCAUGCUCGCUCUCUCUCUCCCUCUCUCUCAAGAAACAUUUAAAAAAAAAGAAAGAAAAAGAAGUCUAGGGGCUCCUGGGUGGCUUAGUCAGUUAAGCCUCCAGCUGUUGAUUUCAGCUCAGGCGAUGAUCCCAGGGUCAUGGGAUUGAGCCCAACUUUGGGCUCCGUGCUGAGUGUGGAAUCUGCUUGAGAUUCUCCCUCUCUCUCUCCCUUUGCCUCUCUUCCCCACGCGCAUGCUCUCUUUCGAAAGAAAGAAAAGUCUUAAGGGAAUGUGAAAUUUUUGUUCGUGGCCUCGCAUGAAUUUAGUUAGAAAACUGAAAGUCGGUUUAAAAUAAACUUUUCCAUUUGACUAAAAUUUAAAAACAGAUGAACUGUGCUAUCUGGGCAUAAUUCAAUUUAGGUAAUAACUAUUUUUACCCAUUAUGAGAAAUUAAAGGAAUUGUUGUAAAGUCUUUGAUGCAUUUUCCUGGUAAAGUUAAAAAUGUUGAAAUCUACACACCAAAAUGUUCACAUUGGUUAUCUUUUGAGACAGGUGUAGAUUAGUAGUUGUUAUUUUGGGGGGAGUGUUUUGGUUUCCUUGAUUUUUUUUCAUAAUAAAAGUAUACCAUGUUGCUUAGCUUUUUGUUCAACUUGUAUAAAUUAAAUGCCUCCUAUGCCAUGGAUACUGGACAUACAGUUGUGCAUGUAGUAAUUUCUAGGUUUUCUCAGCAAGUUCAGUAAGCUAAGGGAAGUAUAAUAGAGUUAAGAAUAGGGUAUGUAGGAAGGUUACUUAAUAGUAUAGAAGAUAUGAAGCCAAGAUAGGAAGGGAGAGGAAGACUUUGUAACAUUGGACCUCAGGGGAAUUUUUACCAAAGUGAUAUCCUAAGGCAGAAUCCCACUUUGGGAACAACUAACCAGGCUGACAUUGGUAGAUCUUGUUCUCUGAAGGACUUUUGGUAUUGUCGGAAUAGACUUAGCACCAUAUAUGUAUAUAUUGCCAGUAAAUAAUACUUUUAGGGCUUAAAUUUCAACUAUUGGAGGUUCCAAGGGAUCUGAUUUUGUGCAUUAGGUGUUCUGCUAAAAUUACUGUAAUUUGGGGGUGCUUGGGUGGCUCAGUUGCUUAAGCGUCUGUCCAAUUCUUAACUUCGGCUCAGGUCAUUAUCUCUCGUAGUUCAUUAGUUUGAGCCCUGCAUCUGGCUCUGUGCUGACAACGAGGAGCCUGCUUAGGAUUCUCUGUCUCCUUUCUCUCUGCCUGUGCCCCUCCCCUGCUCAUGCACAUGCACACACUCUCAAAAAUAAACUUUAAAAUAACUAUAAUUUGGGGUAAGGAAUCAUAUCAGUCAUAAAUGCAGCCUUUUUCAUGAUGUCCUCAGAUAAAAUUUUGUCCAUUUUUAUUUCAUGUUAAAUUGUUGGUCAUCAUCCAUUCCUUUCUCUCAGAGUCAUAGUACUUUGGUAGCCUGAAGUAAUUUCCAGAUUAUGUUCAUUUCAUAGAAACUUAAAAAUUUGUUGAAGUAAUGUUAAAUGUCUGAUUUAGGUUCUGCUUGGGCAUGUCUUUGUCCCACUAUGGUCCCUCUGACAUUAGACCACAUACAGUGAAACCUUGGAUUGUAAGUUGUUCUGCAAGUGUUCCACAAGACGAGCAAACAUUUCCAAUAAGUUUUAACUUGAUAAAUGAGCAACAUCUUGCAAUAUGAGUAGUACGUGACGCCAGACAUCACAUGAUCAGAACUAAGCCAAUGGUUCUUGAAAUUCAGUUUGAUAUAUGAGUGCUUUGGAUUACAAGCAUGUUUCCAGAAGGAAUUAUGCUCAUAAACCAAGGUUUUACUGUGUAGUAAUCCCAAGGGGUCAGUAUAUCUUGUAAUUUUAGUGACUGAUCUCUGAUUGGUAAUCUGAUACUUUGGGAUUGAUUAUUUUCUAGUUAAGAGACUGGCAGACUAUGUCUGUCAGUACCUGGGAUCAAAUAAUUGGUAUAUUAUAUAAGCAUUGCACCCUGGAUCUGAAAUUACAUUGCUGUAAUGUAAGCUGUAGACUUACCCAUUUUCUUUUUAAAAAAUUUUUUUUUCAACGUUUAUUUAUUUUUGGGACAGAGAGAGACAGAGCAUGAACGGGGGAGGGGCAGAGAGAGAGGGAGACACAGAAUCGGAAACAGGCUCCAGGCUCUGAGCCAUCAGCCCAGAGCCCGACGCGGGGCUCGAACUCACGGACCGCGAGAUCGUGACCUGGCUGAAGUCGGACGCUUAACCGACUGCGCCACCCAGGCGCCCCAAAAGUUGAUAAAAAAAUAUGAAGUUUUUGUUUAUUAAAGUUCCUCCCAAAUUGCCUGUCCAAAACUAUUUUAAUAUAAGCCAUAGUGCUUUUAUUUAAGUAUUUUAUAGUUGCUUAAGUAACUUUCUUCAAAAUAUACAACACUAUGGACUGCUUAACCUGUAAUUUAGGACUAUAUCACAAAACAGGUUUUCCAAAACUUUCCUUGAACACUAGGGGGGCCCCACAAGGAUAUCAUAAACUUGAUUCAAUUUGCUUUAUUGAAUUUGUAUUAAGUCUAAUUUUUAACACACACAAAGUAUCAAAAUGUGUGAUAACCUCUUUAUAGAAGUAAACAUUUUUUUUGGGUGGAUGCCACCAUUCUGUUCAGUAUUAAAUAAGCUUUCUGUUUUCAGAAAAGUUUUAGAUUUACAAAGAAGUUACAAAGAGUUCUCAUAUACCCCACACUCAGUUUCCCUUAUAUUAACAUCUUAUAUUACUAUGGCACAUUUGUCAUAUUCCCCCUCUCCCCAGCCCUUGUUAAACUCUAAUCUACUUUCAGUCUCUGUAAAUUUGUCAGUUCAGGGUACCUCACAGAAUUGGAGCAGUGCAAUAUUUGUCCUUUUGUGUAGGGCUUGCAUCACUUAACAAAUCCACAGGGUUCAUCAUCUGUGUUGUUGCAUGUGCCAGAACUUCAUGUUUUUUUAUGGCUGAAUGAUAUACCAUUGUAUGUAUAUACCACAUUUUGUUUAGCCAUUCAGUUUGUAUAUGUGCCAUGUUUUGUUUAUAGAUACAUACAUUAGUAUAUAUUUAUUUAUAUACAUAUUUUAUUUAUCUACCAUCUAGCUAAUGGAUAGCACUGCCGUAGAACAUAUUUUUGGUUAAUUGUUAUCACAUUUCAUUAGUCUGAUUAAAUUGGUCAUAGUAAACUAUGCAAUAGGAAGUUAUUUAACUCUUGCAAUAAAAUCUUGAAAAUGUCUCUGGAGUAUCAAGAUAAAACUUCAGCCCACUGGAAUUAGGAAGUAUCUGUAUCAAUAUUAGCACAAUUUACCCAAAAAUUAACAAAAAUGUUUUCUUAUUCUAGGUGUGAUACCUUUGGCACCAUCGUAUAUUUUCCUCAGUUAAAAUUAAACAGUAACACUGAUUGGGCGAGUAGUUUUGUGAUUUAAAAAGUAUUUUUCUUUUAGCCAUUAUUUUUAAUGUAGGCUAUAGCGUAUGCUAGGUAGAAUUGUAUUAUUAUCCACUUCCCAAACAUCUCUUUGCUUUCCUUUUUUCUUUCUUAUUCUCUUCAUACUUUCUCAGGGCCUUUAGUCAGUUUCUCUAGGGAAGAAUAAGUUCAAAUCUAUACCUAUCACUCAAAAAAUUGUUUUCUUUCCUCCAUUAUACAUUGUAUUAAAGUAUAAAAGGCAUAGAUAUUCAUUGUAAAAAAUUUGAAAGAACCAUAGCACAAUUAAAAAAGAAUGCACAGGGGCGCCUGGGUGGCUCAGUUGGUUGAGCGUCCGACUUCGGCUCAGGUCAUGAUCUCACAGUUUGUGAGUUCGAGCCCCGCGUCGGGCUCUGUGCUGACAGCUCAGAGCCUGCUUCGGAUUCUGUCUCCCUCUCUCUCUGCCCCUCCCCCCCUCAUGCUCUGUCUCUCUCUGUCUCAGAAAUAAAUAAACAUUAAAAAAAUUUUUUUUAGGGGCACCUGGGUGGCNNNNNNNNNNNNNNNNNNNNNNNNNNNNNNNNNNNNNNNNNNNNNNNNNNNNNNNNNNNNNNNNNNNNNNNNNNNNNNNNNNNNNNNNNNNNNNNNNNNNNNNNNNNNNNNNNNNNNNNNNNNNNNNNNNNNNNNNNNNNNNNNNNNNNNNNNNNNNNNNNNNNNNNNNNNNNNNNNNNNNNNNNNNNNNNNNNNNNNNNNNNNNNNNNNNNNNNNNNNNNNNNNNNNNNNNNNNNNNNNNNNNNNNNNNNNNNNNNNNNNNNNNNNNNNNNNNNNNNNNNNNNNNNNNNNNNNNNNNNNNNNNNNNNNNNNNNNNNNNNNNNNNNNNNNNNNNNNNNNNNNNNNNNNNNNNNNNNNNNNNNNNNNNNNNNNNNNNNNNNNNNNNNNNNNNNNNNNNNNNNNNNNNNNNNNNNNNNNNNNNNNNNNNNNNNNNNNNNNNNNNNNNNNNNNNNNNNNNNNNNNNNNNNNNNNNNNNNNNNNNNNNNNNNNNNNNNNNNNNNNNNNNNNNNNNNNNNNNNNNNNNNNNNNNNNNNNNNNNNNNNNNNNNNNNNUGCCCCUCCCCCAUUUGUGCUCACACAUGCAUGCUCUCUCUACCUCAAAAUAAAUAAACAUUUUAAAAAAUCUUUAAAAAAUAAAGAAUACACAGAAACAGAUUGUUGGUUUCUUUCUUUCUAGUAUGUAUGUAUAUUACAUAAAUAAUUAGUAUAUGUGUAUUAAUAAGGUUUUUAGAUACUCUUGAGUGUAGUCAACAUAAAAUGUUAAAUUAGUUUCAGGUAUACAACUUAGUGAUUAGAUGGCUCUUGAGUUACCAAGAACAUUUUCCUAUCUUUAGGAAUAUCUUUAGGAAUACACACAAGUCUUUUAUUUGGGCCAUGAUUUUUUAUAUAAUACUUACAUAUUUUUUUAAACAUUAGGAUUAUUUUAAGUUUUUUUAAACACUUGAACAUAACGUCGUUAACGUACUUGUAGAAACAUUUUUCUGUGCAUAUCUCCUUGAUUAUUUGUUUUACUAUAAUCUUGUUAGACACUGAUUAUUAUUUUGCAUCUCUUGAUUAGCUAAUGUGAACAAAGUCAAGUGUAAAGUAAUUAGAGCAAAUAUUGUUCAUAUAUCCCCUACAUCUCUUCACACUUAAUUCAUUCUCACCUCUGACAAACAUAAUCAUCUCAUGCCCUGCUAUCAUCCACUAUUCUUUGCUUUCCUCUCUCAGCCCUCUGUUAUGAGAUUUUUCUUUCUCACAAAAUGAUACACUUUUAAUGGUCAUAAGAUUGUUUUACCAUUUUAAUUGGUUUUCCUGGCACGUUCUACCAAAUACAUCUAUUUUUUUUUCAUUUCAGUACCUCUUAAUUAUCUCUUACCUAUUUGUUCUAUUUCAGGCAGCAUUCCAUUUUAUACGGUAUUCUUUGUUUAUACUAGUCUUUUGAUAACAAUAGUUCACGUUAGCUGAGCACACACAGUAAGCAUUACACACUGUUCUACAUGUGCAUUAACUCAGUUUUAAUGCUCAGGAAGUACAUUCUAAUAUUAUCCUUUACUUUUUCAGAUGAGGUAAUUGAGGUCAGUUACACUCGGUAACAUUGCCCCCAAAUGUCACAGAGCAGGCAGUUUGGCCCCACAGUCUCUAUAGGCUCUCUCUCUCUUCUUUAUCAAUGAUGCUUUAGUUGUGGUUCAAAAAAGAAAAAAAAAUGAGGUCCUUUUCAGUGUCUGAUGGUGACUGUGUUCCUGCAAGGAUUAGGAACUCUUUAAGAGUAUUUUUUUUUUUAAGUUUAAAUGCUGGUCCAGCAUAGUAGAUAUGGUUAGAAGAGUUUAGAGGAUAGGAGUGUCAGGAUUAACUGGGGCACCUCUCUAGCAGAACACCUGGAUGUGAUCCAUGUCCCCACAUCUGGUUUUCAAACAUGGCAGGCACAAUGAGCCUCAGAAAUGACCUUUAAUAAAGGCCAUUUCCUCCCAAGGUUGGUUUGUUUUAAAGAUAGCCAAACAUGAUUGUUUUGAUCAUUUCUACUUGAUAUAAUAAUCUCACCAACACUCAUGCUAGUAUGGUUUUUAGUAAAUUUCAGAGACAGGUUUUCAACCCAAGAGAAGUUCAGAACUUGGCCAUGAAUGUCCAGCCAGUAAAUUGUAAACUCCUUUUUUGAACCCAUGUCUUAUGGUGCAAAGGCUUAAAUUCUUAAUUGCCCUGGGAUACUACAGUGUCCUCUUCGGGCUUUGCUGAUACCCUUGACAUCUCUGGUGUUUCCUCUUGUGAUGUCUCCACCCUGCCAAUAUUUUAUGCACAUGUUUUUGCAACUUAGCCACACUCCAGGGGGGAAGCCCUUUAAAAUGAGACUUGUUCCAAAGUACUCCAUUGGCUUCCCAAGUAGAUAUAUGCCUUUUGGUUCUUUUAUCUGGCUGCUGGGACAGAGAUUCCUAGGAACCAAUGCGUCAUCAAGUCAAUUGUUUUGCCCCAGUUUUGGAAAUUGAACUCCCUCUACCUUCAGGUCUUCAGCCUCCAUUUGACUCCCCAUCAUGUUCACUGAGGAUUGUGGAAUUAAGUCUCAGGUGAGGAGUCAUACUAUCCCAUUUGGGAAGAGGGCUUUCUGUCAGAGGGGAAAAUUUUUUAUUCAUUUAAACUACAGAAUAAAUUAUGAACUAUAUGCAUUAGCCAAUUGAUUGAUUUUAAAGAAAACUCAUUAACACCUGGGUGGCUCAGUUGGUUAAGUGUCCGACUUCAGCUCAGGCCAUGAUCUCAUGGUUCGUGGGUUUGAGCCCCACGUCAAGCUUUGUGCUGACAGCUCAGAGCCUGGAGCCUGCUUCCGAUUCUGUGUCUCCCUUUCUCUCUACCUCUCAUCUGCUUGCACUCUGUCUCUCUGUCUCAAAAAUAAACAAACAUAAAAAAAACUUUACAGAAAACCCAUUAACAACAUAGCUUUACUAUGUCCUGAGUAUCUUAUGUCUAUAUUCCUAUUGAUUAUUUUUUGAAGUUUAUUUAUUUAUUUUGAAAGAGAGAAAGAGAGAGUGCACGCAAGCAGGGGAGGGGCAGAGAGGGACAUAGAGAGAAUCCCAAGCAGACUCCAAGCUGUCCUCUCCAUCCAUGAACCAUGAGAUCAUGACCUGAGCCAAAAUCAAGAGUCAGACGCUCAACCUACUGAGCCAUGCAGGUACCACUAUUCCUAUUGAUUAUUAUGUACCAUGGGCAUUGCAGAUAUUCUCUUCCCCACAUUCUCUAAUGAGUUAAUUAUAAUUGGUGUUAAUAUCAUCUAAAUUAUACGUAUCAUGAAAGUGUGAAUGGGGAGAGAGAAUUUCAAUGAGAUCAGAAUGUUUUUAAGUUAUAGUUUGAAUUUGAAGGCUCAAUUUAUGGCAUUUCACAUUCCAAGGAAAGCUUUGAAUUAUUUAGGAUUCAGUUAACUCAGUUAUAUCACAGAAUGAUAAGCAUGGCUAACCUUCACACAUGAAAAUUUCCCAAUAUCAUCCUGGCCACAGAUGAGCUGUAUGCACGCAUGUCCUUGUCUAAGAGAGACAUAGGGUUCCUUAGCAGUUGCACUUUUGAUUCAGUGAAAGUGCAGUUAGGCUCCUCCAACAAGACAGUUUUUCUAAGUAAGAUUUUUUUUUUAUGUGACAUUUUAAUCUUAUUCUCAAGUUAGCUAAUAUACAGUAUAGUCUUGGCUUCAGGAGUAGAUUCCAUGAUUCGUCACUCACAUACAAUACACAGUACUCAUCCCAGCAAGUGCCCUCCUCAAUGCCCAUCACUCAUUUUCCCCACCCUGCCACCCCCAUCAACCCUCAGUUUGUUUUCUGUAUUUGAGUCCCUUAUAGUUUGCCUCCCUCUCUGUUUUUAUCUUAUUUUUCCUUCCCUUCUCCUACACUUAUUUGUUGUUUCUUAAAUUCCACAUAUGAGUGAAAUCAUAUGAUAUGUCUUUCUCUGACUGAUUUCACUUAGCAUAAUACCCGCCAGUAAGCUUUUUUUCUCAAUAGGAAAGAAAACAGCUGUGCACAGAGGGAGAUUUGAACACUGUGUUCUUCAAAGAUACCUGUGGCAGUGGUUGGGGCUGUUAGUGCUCACUGCCCUGACAGAAACUUGCUUUGGCAGGGUAGAAGGACAGUGGGCUUUGGGUGUCAGAUUUUGUGUCUCUGGUGUUGACUGCAGCUUUCUUGAAAGUCAGGCUGUACUCCUUCUCCAGGGACUCCUGAAGUGGUGGAAUUCUCUAAUGCCUAAUUAGUCUUAGUUCCUAUCUUCAACAUGUUUGCUGUCUGAAAAUGUUCUAAUAGGAUUUUGUUGCCUUUAGUGCCCCUGCUCUUUGGGAACCAUAUGAUUGCAAUAGCAUUUCCACCCAUUGGUUUCAAGGCCAGUUUUCCUGCAAGCAGACAAGAAGUUGUUUUAGUGUAGUGCUAGCACUUUUUGUCUUAGCCAACUGGUGUUCUUUUUUUUUUUUUUUAAGUUUAUUUAUUUUGAGAGAGAGAGCCCGCAUGUGCACGUGUGCAUGUGCGAGGGAGGGAGAGAGAGAAUCCCAAGCAGGCUUCACACUGUCAUCCCAGAGCCCAACAUGGGGCUCAAACUCACAAACUAUGAGAUCAUUACGUGAACCGAAAUCAAGAGUUGAAUGCUUAACCUACUGAGUUAACCAGGUGCCCCUAGCCAACUGGCGUUCUUCUAAAAACACCGGGGUUCUCAACUAUCCCCUGAUGGGCUGGGUUGUAUUUUUCUAGUUUGUUAAUGUCUAUUACUAUUGGUAGCCAUUAUUGUUCAUUUCAAGCAUUCUACUGCCUAAGACAUAUUACUUAAAUUUUCAUAAAGUUAAGAUUAUACAGAUAAUUUCCUACAUUGGUAGUGUAGCUAAGCUUAGCAAUUUUUUAAUAAACGCUUUUGGGAUAUUUUGUUUUCUUAAAAGUGUGCUAAUGUCAUACUUCUCUGACUAUCCAUCUGCCCUUCCUAAGUAUGCUCUUGUAGACCCUGUAUUGUAUUGCUGACAGCCACCGCUGGAGAAUUGCUGUCCUGAAGUAGAAUAAAGAUCUCAGACAUGGUGCUGCUUUUAUUUUUCUAGCUUAACUGAUUCUUUACAUGGGACUUAACAUCCAGUCAGCAGCUAAACUCAGCAAAGGAUUAUCUUGCCAUGUGUAUGGUUGUAAUGAAUUUCCAAUUUUGGUUUCUGUAUGGACAAAUGAGAAGCAAAUAAAUCUUUUAUAUGUAACUGCAACCUUGUCCUUCUAGUGCAGAGCUCUGUUCCAAGUUUAGACCUAGUAAAAUUUUGCUGCUUAUUAAAAAAUACUGCAUCUUAAGGGCUUUUGAUUUUUGGAAUUAUGUAUUCAUUCAUAUACAUAUAAACACACAGGGAUACACAUCAGCCACUAUGUUUUAGGUGCAAUGUUUAAUAUUAGUUAGAAAGCCUAUUUCCUAGUUGGGCUACUUCCAUCCUGUGCAAAUAGUACAAUCAAGUUGCCCAGUAGGAUUACAGACUGGGAGUGCCUGGGUGGCUCAGUCAGUUAAGUGUUUAUUUCUGCUCAGGUCAUGAUUUCGCGGUUCAUGAGUUUGAGCCCUGCAUCGGGCUUCGCACUGAUGGUGCAGAGCCUUCUUAGGAGGAUUCUGUCUCCUCUCUCUGCCCCUCACCUGCUCACUCACUAUCUAUCUCUCUCUCUCAAAAUAAAUAAAUAAACAUUAAAAAAAAGAUUAUAGCCUGGACACCCAUUUUCGAAAUACUGAAGCAUUAACUGUGUUCUAUAGUGCAAUAAUGUAGUCUUUUGCUAUCAGAUAACAAUUUUCUGUGGGAAAUUUGAUAUUGUAAUCAGAUGCUAUGAUAAUACUGGAAACCUGGAUAGCUAUACUUCUACAUAUUUAUGUAUUCACAUUAGCUCAUGUUACUAAUGUCCUAUACUUAUAGCUUCAGUCAUCUUCCCUUCAUUUGACAACACUGCCUAGAGGCUUACAAACAACAGUAUGGGUUUAUGGAGUUCCUAAUGGUCUAUUCUGCAUUGCCCCUUUAGAGAUGUCAUUACAUACCCACUUCUCAGGGUAUUUUCCAGUUGCAUUUCAUUAGGAUCCCUCAAUUCUAUGCCAAUACAAUGAGGCUUUAAAGAAUUCGCUGCAAAUUAUUUUGCUUUAGUGUUGUUACCUGUGUGGCUCAGCACAUUACAGUGCUUUACAUGUGUAACUGUUCAUUGUUUAGUUUUAGUUCAGUGUUGCUAUUUAGAUUGGGUAUAUUCUAAUAGUAUUAGCUAUUUAACUGCCUUUUGCCCCUUCAGUUCAGUUGACCGCCUGGAAUUUUGUCUGUUACCAAAAUAUUAAGUAUUAGGAUCUGCCAACCAUGGCAUGAGUAGUUUUGGAAGUACUGUUAUUUGCCAUAUUAUGAAACCAUAAGUCCAUGAGUUGUUAUACUGCCAUUGUUGACUUAAUAAAAAAAAUGUACCCACAAUUUUAUCAUGGUGUGCUCUCAUUAUUUGUUGAAUAGUAUUAAUCUAAACCAUAGUCACCAUGAUGAUUCAAAUCUAUUUGGAAAGUCUUAGACUUUUUCCACAUUAAGACAAUUUUGGGUUCAAGCCCUGUGUCGGGCUCCACACUGUCAGCUCGGGGCUUGGGAUUCUCUCUCUCUCAAAAUAAAUAAAUAAACUUAAAAAAAAAGACAAUUUUGCUAUUCCACUGUCUUGUUUGGUUGUGAGUUAUCAUAUUUUCCUAUCUGUUGCCAGAAAAUAUAUGUUGUCUAGUUGUUGACUCAGCAGUUCCUUUGUCCUGUAGAUACGGUCCUGCAAGGAUUUUUUUUUUUUUUACCACCUGUGGUUAAAUGUAGGAGUACCUUCUGUUUUUGAAGUUCUGUAGUGACGGUUCUUUGUCGAGUCUUGCCUCUGGUACUUCACUACUAGAUCAUUAUUUAGCCCAACUAUAAUAUGGGAUCUUGUUUUGACUCCACGGUGUUACUGGAAAACUUAUAUCUCCUAGUGGAUGAAAAUAUUUCAGUGGUAGGGCUAAUCUCCAUGUAGUUGGUAUUCCUUUGUCUCUAAUCUUUGUUUACAUGUUUAUGUGUUAUACCUAUACUUACUGGGCAGUUUGAUCCUUUACAAAUCCUUUACCUUCACACAUGGCCAAGAUACCAGUAACCACUAUUUGGGGGCAACCUGUCAAUGGACUUAUAGCUAACAAGUGUCCUCUCAAUUUUGUAAUAAGGUUAAAUGCUUUAGAAGAUUAAACACCUAUCUUAGCAACCCUGCUAAUCAGAUUGACUCUGAAUAAGGCAAUUAACUUAAAAAAAAUAAUAAUCAUGACAUCAUUCAUAUACCCUGAAAUUCACCCGUUUACUUUUCAGUGGCUUUUAGUACGUUCAUAGAAUUGUGCAAUCAUCAUUUCUGUAUUGCUGUAAAACAUUUUUAUCACCCCAGAAAGAAGCCUUAUACCUGUUAGCAGUAAUUCCUCCUUUUCCUCUUUUGCCAACCCUGCUACCACUAAUCUAACUUUUGUCCCUGUGGAUUUGUCUAUUCUAGACAUUCAUUUGAAUGGAAUCAUUCAAUGUGUCUUUUAUAUCUGACUUCUAUCACUUAGCAUGUUUUGGUGGUUUGUCCAUAUUAUAGUAUAUCUCAGUGUUUCAUCCAUUUUUAUGUCUGAUUAACAUUCCAGUUUAUGGAUUAGCUUCAUUUUGUUUAUUCAUCUGUUGAAGGACAUUUGGGUUUCCACUUUCUGUUAAGAAUAGGUGCUAUAAACAUUCGUAUACAAGUUUUUACAUGGACAUAUUUUCAUUUCCUUGAGUAUACCUACAUUUAACAUUGGAAUUGCUUUGUAAUAUGGCAACUUUAUUUUUAAUGUUGUAAUUUUGAAAAAGUUUAUGAAAGUGCCUGCACCAUUUUACAGUAUCACCAGCAAUGUGUGAGGAUUUCAACUCUUCCCUAGUCUCACUUGUUACUUUCAGUCUUCUAUAAAAAUAGCCAUCCUAGUGGAUGUGGAGUGUCUCAUUGUGGCUUUGACCAGUAUUUCUGUGUUGAGCAAUUUUGUAUGUGCUUAUUCGCUAUUUAUAUUUCUUCGGAGAAAUGCUUAUUCAAAUCCUUUGUUCGUUAGAAUUGGGUUAUAUGUCUUUUUGUCAUUUUAUUGUGAGAAUUCUUUAUACAACUGGAUAAUAGACCCCUAUUGGGUAUGUGGUUUGUAAAUAUUUUUUAUUCCAUUCUCUGGGUUGUCUUUUAACUUUCUUGUUUGCAGUACGUAAGUUUUUAACAUGGAUGAAAUCUAAUUUCUCUAUUUUUUGGUCACUUUUGAUUUUGGUGCCAUAACAAAGACACUAUUAUUUUACACUGAGGUCUGCUCCAUUUGGCAUUUAUUUUUAUAUAUGGUAUGAAGUUCAACCUUAUCCUUUUGCAUGUAGAUAUACAGUUUUCCUACUACCAUUUAUUGAAAAGACUAUCCUGUUGAAUUAUCUUGACACCUGUAUUGAAAAUCCAUUGACUCUAAAUUCAAAGGUGUAUUUGGGGCCUAUAAAUUAUUUUUCACUUAUCUGUGUAUCCUUAUAUCCAGGCAAUACUGUCUUUAUUAUUUUAGUUUUAUAGUAAAUUUUGAAAUCUGGAAUUAUGAAUCCUUCGACUUUGUUCAAGAUUGUUGGACCCUGAGUUUCCAUAUGAAUUUUAGGAUCAUUUUGUCAAUUGCUAUAAAUUAAGAUCUGGAAUUUUGAUGAAGAUCACAUUUAACCUGUAGAUCGCUUUGUGGAGUAUUGCCACAUUAACUGUUCUCUCAGUUCAUUAAUAUGGAAUGUCUUUCCAUUAAUUUAGUCUUUAAUUUUCUUCAACAUUGUAAUUUUCAGUAUAGAAAGUCUUGUAUUUCUGUUUAAAACUAUUCUAAGGGCAUAUGGGUGGCUCAGUCAGUUAAGAAUCUCUUAAUUUCAGCUCAGGUCAUGAUCUCACAGUUGGUAAGAUCGUGCCCCAUGGGGAUCUGCAAUGACAGUGCAGAGCCUGCUUGGGAUUCUCUGUCUCCUACUCUCUCCCUCUCUCUACCCCUCCUCCCACCUGCACAUGUAAGCUCUCUUUCUCUCUCUCUGUAAAAUAAACCUUUAAAAAAUUAUUCUAUAUGCUCCACUUUUAUUCAUAAUGUUGAUAACAGAAUUAUUCUCUUAUUUCAUUUUGAUUAUUAAUUGCUAGUAUAUACAAGUAAAAUUAUUUUUUAUUGGUACUGUAUAUUCUAAGGUUUCUGAACUCAUUAGAAUUGCUUCUUUUUAUUCUAAUAGUUUUAAUGUUAGGUGGGGUGAGUUUCUUUUUGGUAGAUUCCUUAGGAUUUUUAUGUAUAAGAUUAUAUUUCCUACAAAUACAGAUCAUUGUACUUCUUUCUUUUUAAUCUCAUUGAUUUUUAUUUCUUUUUUCUGCCUAAUUACCCUAACUAGAAUCUCCUAUACAUUAUUGGCAAGAGCAGUCUUCCUGGCCUUAGGGGAAAUAUACUUACCCUUAAUUGCAAUGAUAGCUGUACAAUUUUUCUAAAUCCCCUUUGUCAAGUAUGGAAAGUUCCCUUCUGUUCCUAGCUUGUUGAGGUUUUCAUUUUUUUUAAUCAUGAAUGAUUGUCAUGAAAUUUCUACGUUUGUUGAUAUGAUCAUGAGGUUAUCUUUAUUUUGUAUAGUGUAUUAGAUUCAUUCAUUUUCAGAUACUAAACCAACUGUAUUGAGGUAAAUCCAAUUUGGUCAUGGUAUAUAAUCAUUUCAUUUCUGGAUUUGGUUUGCUAGUAUUAUGUUGGACUUUUUUGGAACUCUCUAUUCAUGAGGCAUUUUGCUCUGUGGUUUUCUCAUUUUAUCUUUGUCUGGCUUUGGUAUCAGACUACUAAUGGCCCCAGAGAAUGAUUUGGGAAGCAUUUCUGUCUCUUUUUUUUUGAACAUUAAACAAAGGAUUGGUAUUAGUUCUUUUUAAACAUUUCACCGAAUUAGCAUGAAGUCAUCUUUUCAUGGACUCUUCUUUUGGGAACUUUUAUAGAUUAAUUAUCAAAUUUAUUUUUCUAGGUCUGUUCACAGUUUUCUUCUUGAGUCAGAUUUGGUUGUGUCUUUCAAGGAAUGUGUCCAUUUCACCUAGUUGGCACACAUUUUUUGAUAGUUCUUUGCGAUUCUUUUUUUUCCCUAUAAGGUUGGCAAUGUGCCUUCUCUUAUUCCUGAUCAUAUUUAUUUGAAUUUUCUCUCUCUUUUUCAUGGUCACUCUAGCUAUAGGUUUGUCUUUUAUUAUUAUUGUUUCAAAAAAACCAAAUUCAGUUUUCUUGAUUUUCUGUUUUUUCUAUUCUUUAUAUAUUCCUAUUCCAACCUGUAUUGUUUCCUUCUUCCUGACUCAUUUGGUUUAGCUUGCCCCUUUUUAAAUUUAAGAUUGUUUGUUUAUUGAUUUGAGAUCUUCAUUUUUUUAAUGUUUAUUUAUUUUUGAGAGAGAGCAUGAGCAGGGGAGGGGCAGAGAGAAAGGGAGACACAGGAUCUGAAGCAGGUUCCACGCUAUCAGCGUAGAGCCUGAUGCAGGGCUUGAACUCACGGACCAUGAGAUCAUGACCUGAGCCAAAGUCAGAUGCUUAACUGACUGAGCCACCAUGGCAUUCUGAGAUCUUCAUUUUUAUUACUAUUUUUUUUACUUUUUGAUAUAUUUAUUUAUUUCUGAAACAGAGACAGAGCAUGAGCAGGGGAGGGACAGAGAGAGAGGGAGACACAGAAUCAGAAGCAGGCUCCAGGCUCUGAGCUGUCAGCACAGGGCCCAACACGGGGCUCGAACUCACAAACCGUGAGAUCAUGACUUGAGCCGAAGUCGGUCGCUCAACCUACUGAGCCACCCAGGUACCCCGAGAUCUUCAUUUUUAAUAUAGGUAACUACAGCUACAAUUCUCCCUGUAAGCAAUGUUUUUGUUGCAUUCUAUAAAUUUUAUAUGUUUUGUUUACAUUUUAAAAGUAUUUUCUCAUUCUCUUUAUGAUUAUUUUUUGACCCAUUGGUUAUUUAAGAGUUUGUUGUUUAAUUUUCCCAAAUUUGCAAAUUUCCCAAAUUUUAUUCUGUUUAUGGAUUUCUGAUUUCAUUUCUUGGUGGGAGAACAUACUUUGUAUGAUUUCAAUUCUUUAAGUUUAUUGACACUUGUUUUAUGUCUUAGCAUAUGGUCUACCUGGAGAAUAUUUAAUUCUAUUUUUUAUUAGUAUAGUUAUCCAGCUCUCUUGGUUACUGUUUGCCUGGUAUAUCUUUUUAUAUCCUUUUACUUGCAAACAUUUUGUGUCUUUGAAUCUAAAAUACAUGUCUUGCAGAUAACAUAUAGGUGGGUUAUAUUUUUUUAUCUAUUUUUGCCAAACUCUGACUUUUUAUUAGAUUAUUUUUAUUUAUGUUUAAUGAAAUAAAACAUACUGAUAAGGUAGGACUGAUGUCUCUUGUUUUCCUAUUUGUUUUCCAUGUGUCUUAUGUCUUUUUGUUUUAAUUCCUUUUUUCUUUUACUGUAUUUUUAACUUACUUUUUUCAUGAUUGCUCUGCUAUUUCAGUUAACAUCUUACCUUAAAAUAAUUGUUUUCAGAUUAAUUUCAAUUGUGUACAAAAUUUGCUCCACUAUAUCUUUGUUCCCUCCCCUCUUCUUGGUGCUGUUAUUAUACAAAUUACUUCUGUGUGCAAUGUAAACAUAUCAACACAAUCUUCUAGUUACUCCUUUAUGCUCUUAUCUUUAAGUCAGAAAUGAGAAAAAACAUUACAUAUAAAAAUAGAUUUUUUUUGUCUCUUAAAUUUAUUUAUGCAGUUACCUUUAUUCAUGUUCUUUAUUUUUCAUUUAUAUGUGAGUUACCGUCUAGUGUCCUUUCAUUUCUGCCUGAUGGACUCUUUUGUAUCUCUUAUAGGGCACAUCUGUUAGCACUGAAUUCUUUUAACUUUUGUUUAUCUGGGAAUGUUAUAAUUUCUCCAUUUCUCAAGGAUAGUUUUGCUGGAUACCGAGUUCUCCGUUAACAUUCUUUUUCCUUCAGGAGUUUAAAUAUAUCAUCCCACUAUUUUCUGGUCUCCAUGGUUUAUGAAAAGUCAGCUUUAACUUUCUUAGGAUCCAUUACAUACGAUGAGUUGUUUUUCUCUUGCUGCAUUCAAGAUUCUGAAGUUACUUUGAUGAUUUGAUUAUUAUGAGUCUAGGUUUGAUUUGAAUAUCUUUGAGUUUAUCCUUGUGGCAUAUAUUGAUCUUCUUACAUGAUGUAUAGAUUAAUAUUUUCAUCAGAUUUGGCAAGUUUUGGCCAUUAUUCAUUCACAUAUUCUUUCUGUCCUCUUCUCCUUUGUUUGACUCCCAUUAUGUUUGUUAUCUUUACUAAUUCUUUUUCAUUAUCUUAUAAGAGAACUUAAGGUUCUGUGUAGUACUGGCUCAAUCUCAUAAGUAGUAUUGUUUGUUGUUUGUUAAAUAUGUUUGAUCAUAAUUACAUUUCUUUUUUUUUAACGUUUAUUUAUUUUUGAGACAGAGAGAGACAGAGCAUGAACGGGGGAGGGUCAGAGAGAGGGAGACACAGAAUCUGAAACAGGCUUCAGGCUCUGAGCUGUCAGCACAGAGUCCAAUGCGGGGCUCGAACUCACGGACCGUGAGAUCAUGACUUGAGCUGAAGUCGGCCGCUUAACUGACUGAGCCACCCAGGCGCCCCGAUCAUAAUUACAUUUCUUUUUUGACUCCAUUAUUUACUGUGAUGCUUCCUAUUGAGAAUUUCUGGUUUGAACUGCCUUAUACAUACAUGAUAUGUGUUAUAUAAUUAUGUAUAUAUUAUAAGUAUAUAUGUAAACUUAUGUGUUUUUAUUACAUAUAUAAUUACAUAUACAGUAUAUAUAUUGUUUUAUUGCAUUGUGAUUAGUGUGGUUACUGUCCUUUUGUACAUACCGAGUUCUUAAUAACUUCCUUAGAGCAAGUGCCUCAUUCUUUUUAAAAAAUAUCUUUAUUUUCAUGUGCUUAUUCUUCCAGGCGACCUUAGAAACAACUUGUUGAGUUCUCACCAUGAAUACCAUUGGAAUUGCAGUUGGAAUGGCAUUAAACAUGUAGAUUAAUUUUUGGAGAGCGAUCAUCUUUAUAAUCUUCUCCUACAUGAAUGUGGUAUGUUUCUCCUUUUAUUCAGAUCUUAAGUAUUGUGUAUGUCUGUUCCACUUAUUACCUUCAAUAUUUUUUCCUGGUUUCUGAAAGAAAUAGGCAGAUGUCUUAGGAACUGAGAUUCUGUUGGGCAAAGUAGAGAAGAUGUCAUCUACAUAGACUAGAUUCUUCAGUAUAAAAGGUCAUACAAAACAUUUUUUUUCAAUAUAAUGGUACUAUUUCUUCCACAUGGCCCUAGAAGUCUGCAUUAUUUAUAAUGUUCCAUAUCCUUGUUUUGUACAGAGGUGGUUUCUAAUAUUAGGAAAACUAUGUAGUAAGCCCUUUGUUUUUUAGUGCCAUCAGCAUCCCUUUGACCCUCUCCUUUCCCAUUUAGAAGUGCUUCCUCCAUCCUGCUUCUGGGAACUCAGUGCUCAUUGUUUACAGGAUAUGCACCCAUUGAAGACCUCCAUGGCCUCCAAUAUAAGGCUAACUAUUUGUGUUAUCACUACAAAAGUGUAGAAUCAGAACGGUUAGAGUUCUGUUCCCACUUGAUGGUUGGUUCUGUUUCCAUUUUAAGAGCAUCUCUCUGAGAGGGAAGCUAGAGAACAUCCAGGAUUCUGAGAGGGAUUUGAACUUAGAUCCUAUGAGAAGCAUCAUAGGAAUUAGAGCUGUUUAGAUGGUGGGAGACAAUUCCUCCGGAAUAAGGAGUUUGAUGAUCUGUUUCCAGAUCUUUUAUGGAGUCGGGAACGGUUGAUUUUUGCUGCUUUUCAAGGCAGUUCUAAUUAAUGCCUUCAAUGAAUAAACAAAUUUAAGAACUGUCCAAAGAUGAAAACAUUCUUGGAAGUGAUAACCUAGUGGUUUCUAUGACCACUUGGAAUAGAAUUUGAGAAUUUCCCUGCAUGUAAUGAGAUACUGGAUUACAUGCACUUAAAAGUCACAUUUAUUUCUGAGAUUCUGAUUAUCUCAGUAAGGACAAAUGCAACUAUUAUUGUGUGCCUACUUCACAUGUUCCCAUUCAAUAAUUACUACAACUUUUUGAGCAUCCCAGAGAGGUAGAAUAAAUUUAAGGCAACUAAUCUAAUUAAUGGCAGAGUAUACUUCUUUUACCUCUCUCGUGUAUCUUAAUUUAUAGUAGUGAUUCCUUAAGUUUGUAUAGCGCUUUAUCAUUUAGAAACCUUUCACAAGCAUGGUUUUAUUUGACCCUUUGGUAAAAUCGGAAGAACAGAUGCCACAUGUCUGUUUUAUAAGUGGAAAAACAUAGGUUUAGAAACUCUUUUUUUUUUUUAAUUUUUUUUUUUCAACGUUUUUUUUUAUUUAUUUUUGGGACAGAGAGAGACAGAGCAUGAACGGGGGAGGGGCAGAGAGAGAGGGAGACACAGAAUCGGAAACAGGCUCCAGGCUCCGAGCCAUCCGCCCAGAGCCUGACGCGGGGCUCGAACUCACGGACCGCGAGAUCGUGACCUGGCUGAAGUCGGACGCUUAACCGACUGCGCCACCCAGGCGCCCCGAAACUCUUUUUUUUUUUAAAGUUUACUUCUUUUAUUUUGAAAGAGAGAGCAAGAGCAGGGUAGGGGCAGAGAGAGAGGGAGAGAGAAUCCCAAGGCGGCUCCACACUGUCAGCUGAAAUCAAGAGUUGGAUGCUUAACUGACAAAACUACCCAGGUGCCCCAGGUUUAGAAACUCCUUGAGUUUCUGUGGAGCAAGAGGAAUCUAGGAGAAUGUUCAAUAUAACUACCAUAUUUUGCAGUUGAGGAAACUGAGUACCAUAAGUAAAAAUCAGGGUAUUUUGUAGGUAUUCUUUGAUUUGUGUUGGGGGAAGGGAAGGUCAGGCUAGUUGAUUUCCUGGGGGUACAGAAGUGUUAUGUUGCUUUUAUCCAUCCUUUAGUGUACGCUUGAUUAAUGCCAACCCACCACAUUAGAUUAAGUGGCGUUUUAAUAAACAUUGUUCAAAGGCACUAAAGGUUUAAGGAGAAAAUUUGAGGCUUUAGGGAGCAGGCUAUGGAAGAUAUUUUGGGUCAUGAGGUCCUUCUUGGUAGCCCUGAAAGCAUUAAGUAUUUCCUGCUCCAGGUUCAAGGGACACCUGGGAAGCAGGGCAGGAGAGAAUGGUUUAUGUUGUCCAUUUGCAGUCAUUCUAGUAUGGUUGGGAAUGAAGCCCCAGCCCUUGCUGGGAGCUAACUAGUCUCUCACUCAUGAGUCUGUGACAUAGGCUCAAGAGUGAUGGCUCUCUUGAAUAUAGCAUGGGUUGCAGAUUUAGCACCUCAAGAAUGGAAGGACCUUAAAAGUCUCCUAUCCAAACCAGCUUAUUUCAAUUUGAUCCUAAUUUGAGUUCUUUUACAAUAUACCCAAUAAGGGAUGUCCGGGUGGCUCAGUCCGUUAAGCAUCUGACUUUAGCUCAGGUUAUGAUCUCACAGUUCGUGGGUUCCGGCCCCACGUUGGGCUCUGUGCUGUCAACACAGAUCCCACUUUGGAUUAUCUGCCCCCCCUGCCCCUCUCCUGCUUGUGCACCCUCCCAAAAAUAAAUAUUUUAAAAAAAGAUUCUCUCACUCCCUCUGCCCCACUCACAUACUCUCUCUCUCUUUCUCUCUUUCUAAAAUAAGAUAAAUUAAAAAUAAACUCUUCUUAAAAUAUAAACAAAUUAAUAAAUAAAUAAAAUAUACCCAACAAAUGGCCUUUUAGCCUGUAGGUAACUAUAAUCAGUGACAGUUAUGGGGAAGUCCUUCCUAAGUCAGUUUGUCUCUUUCAAGACCUCUGCAGUAUUGAGCUAAAAUAUAUUUUUCCGCAGCUUCAACUUAAUCAGCAUAUUUGUAUUGUACCCCAACUUAAGAAUAUUGCUUUAUUCUGUCUCCUGCAUCUUCAGUUUCUUCUCUGCUGCCUAUUGAGCUGCCAGGCACUGUGCUGGGUGAUGGGGAUAUGGAGACGAAUUAGACACAGUUCCUGCCCUCAGGAGUUCUCAGUCUAGUGAGAGAGUUCGACAUGUACACAGAUAAUUACAACAUAUGGUAUGCUCUACAAUGGAGGUAUGUACAAGAUACUAUGGGGUUCAGAAGAGAAAUCAUUUGAUUGAGUGGGGAAAUGCCUGAGGUUGGAGGAACUGAUGCUUAAGUGGAUUCUUAAAGGAAGUAAAGGUUGGCCAGGCAGAAAACAGAGAAGGACCUUUUAAGCAAAGGCAUGGACACUGGAAAUAGAAUGAUGAAAUGGGGGAACUGCAAGUAGUUCCUGAAAUUAGGUUAGAAAUGUAAGCUGAGAAUAGAUCCUAAUAAGUAUUCAUACAUGAACUUUGGAUUUCGUUUGGAGCGUUUAAGUAGGGGAUGCUUUUGAAGGUCACUUUGGCAGUACUAUAGAGUAUGUUCUGGAAGAUUUUCAAACCUGGACAGGGAGAUUAGUUAGAAAUACACCAUAGUAGAGAAGAUGAUAAAUGAUCGAAGGCCAAAAGGAUUGGGAGUGGAGAAGAGGGGAUAGACUCUUAAAUAAGAGGCUAUAAAAACAUGGACAGUUCUAGAACAUGGAAAAAUUAAGGUGGUAAAGAGGGAAAAAUUAGGGCUCUCAGACUUUGGCAAAUGUGCGUCCACCUACUUCCAUUCCUGGCCUUGUUGAGAUCCUCUCAUGUUUACCUUUAUUAUGUUUAUGAAUGUUUAUUUAUUUAUUUUGAGAAUGAGAAAGUGGGAGUUGGGGGGAGGCAGAGAGAGAGGGAGAAAAUUCCCAGCAAGCUCUAUGCUGUCAGUGCAGAGCCCAACGUGGGGCUCCAUCUCACAAGCCGUGAGAUCAUGACCUGAGCCCAAAUCAAGAGUCAGAGGUUUUUCUGACUGAGCCACCCAGGGACCCCAUCCUCUCAUGUUUUUUAGAUGGGCAUUGCUAUUGAUUUCUUUUGGACCAGAGCUUGACUGUACAGAUUUGAUAAGUUUUGUUCUGGGAUGGCAGCUGUAUAUGAAAUGUUGAUUCUCAGAAAGACAUCUGAACAGCUGUAGACCUCUAAUAGUAUUACUUAUUUCCUUGCCCUUCUCAUCAGUAGUAGGUUUCCCUCACCAUCACAUUGUCUCCCAAAGUCAGAGAGGAAGCUUUUCCCUCUAAAACCCACUCAGGGGAGAAAUGGCCCUAGUUGUGACUGUCUCAAUUGUUUUAUUGUUUGUUGAAUGAAAAAAAUGAAUCAUCAACAGACAUUAAUUGGGCACCUGCUCUGUAAUCUCCAUGGACUCAGCUUAGGGAUUUUACAACGUUUGUGGUUACAUCUCCAAGUAAAAUAUAUCCAGUAAUCAAAAAUCUAAACAUAUUCAGUAUUCAUUUCCUGUUUUCUCAAAGCAAUAUAAAAAUGUUCUGUGGACAGUUCUCCACCUAAGGCUCAGAGUAGUGACCUUAGGGAUUCAGAGAAUGGAUUUCUGUGACUAGAAUGAUUAAUAGGAGAUUAUAUUUAAGUAGACCUUAUGUAUUUUCAAUGGACCUUAUGAGUAGCCAUCCUAGAAGGCAGUAGGGGGAAGAAGGAUUGGGAGAGGAAGCUCUGAGUAGGACGGCAAAGCAAUACGUAAGAGUCUGGGCCUUGGGACUAAAUAUCCUAGGCUCAAAUCUGCUCUUAAACUCACCAGUGUGGUAUUGAGCAUGGUUUUUCACCUCUCUGGGACUUGCCUUUCUCUUAUGUAAAAUAGGGGUAAUGGUCUUUUCUGCAUGUAAAAUGGGGGUAAUGGCCUUUUCUGUGAUGAUUUGGAUGGGGAUGGGGGUAGGUGUAAGGAUUUAAUGGGAUUAUUGUACAUUUCUUAGAACAAGUCUGGAAUGUGCCAAAUGCUAUUAUCAACUGUCGUUGCCACUAAUAAUGAUGUUGACCAUGUCUGGGAUUAAAAGAAGAUAGUUAACCAGAGGUGCUUAUGUUUUACGUUGUCAAUGAGGCUCUUCGGGUGUGAGAAAGAAAGGGAAACUAACUGGCCUGAAGGUUUUCAAUGGUAUGUUAGUAUGAAGUCAACUCUCUACCUUCUUUUUCUUCUCUGCCAAAUAGGUUGGGAAACCAGAUGAAUUUUUCCAUGCCCUGAUCACUAAUCUAUUGCCUUUGCUCUUAUUUCCAAAUAGAAACCUGUUGAAAAGUUGUGUUACACCUGAAUAAAGGUUAUCCUAAAAAUGUAGAAAAAUGCUUUGGAGUUGGUCAAAACUGGACUUGAAACCUGACUCAACUGCUUACUAGCUGUGUGAUCUAAGACAUGUUACUUAACCUCACUGAACCUCAGUUUUUUCAUCGAAUAUAAUAAUUUGCAGGGUUUCUCUGAGGAUAUUUGUGAAGUGUAUGUCAUAAGCACUAAGUCAUAGCUGUCAUUGUUAGUUCUUGGGAUACUCACCACGUGACAGAAACAACAGCGGGCCCUGGUGGCUGGGAGGACUGCAUGGAUCCAACCUCAACCUGGAGUUGUGCUCUUCUGAAGAAAUCCUACUCGGAUGGAUAUAAUACAACCUGCUAAGUGUCCUCGCACUUAUCAGGUUGUAUUAUCAUUGUCCGUGUCUAUGGCUCUCGUCUACCAGACUCUAAAUUCCUUACAGGCAAGGACAGUGCCUUGUUCAUCUUUGUAUUCGGUGCCUAAUCCCGUGCACAUUGUAGGCCUCAUUAAAUGUUUGUUGAAUGAAAAAAUGAAUCAUCAACAGACAUUAAUUGGGCGCCUGCUCUGUGAUCUCCAUGGGCUCAGCUUUUCCCCGCCAGUUGCCUACAACGUCCAAGCUGUCUUCAAUAUGCUUUCUCCUGGAGCUUACUCCUAUCUUCUCACUCUUUUGCUGAGGACUUUUCUGUGUAGUACAAAGAUAGCAGAUAUACUUCAUCUCAAGUACCAUCUCCAAUCGGUCAAUAGUACCUGCCUCGAUUAUGUUUCACAAAAAGGAUGCUGAAGCCAGGUCUCAUUCAGUUCAGUGUGAAAGAGAGUUAUAACUAAUUAGCUAUGUUUACUGAAGGUGGGAGAAGGGGGAAUAGCAGCCUAAGUGCCGCAUAUAUAUCAUAUUUAAUAUGUUUUCCGUGAAAUAUUCUGUUUCCAUGCCUGUAUUUUAGUCUUGGCUACUUGCAGAUGUUGCAUGCCUGCUGCUGCUGCUGCUGCUGCUACUACUACUACUACAGUUGCUGCUGAUUGCUCCUUGGGUAGGACCAAAGUGAUCAUUGAUCAGAAACUUCAUCCUCACAGUCUGGGGGUUGCUCCUGUGGCUGGUAUUCACAGUUUCCCCUUUCAACUUUACCUCAGCUAUCCCCUUACCUACAGUGAAAGGUAGGCCUCCACUUUCCGUUCACCACUCAACAGGCUCCUAUUUCCUUUUCCUUCUUUAGUAUGAUUAAUGACUCUUGUUCCAUGAGAAGCCUUCUUUCUGGUAGAAGAUGUGACAAAUAGAGUACAAGUUAAAUGAUUCCGUCAGGGCGCUACAGUGAGUCGUAUAAGCUGCCCUUUAAUGUGGGAGAAAAUGGAGUAUGCUUGCAGACUUCGGGGCAGGAAGAACAGAGAAGGAAGUCAUUGUUGAUGGGGGAAAGAAAGACACUAACAGAUGGAAUAAGUUCCUGAAAAAUGAUGGCAGAAGGGAGGGUGAAACCUAUGACUCUAAAAUAGGGGGAGACAGAGCACCUCAGAUGAAAGGAAUUACCUCCUCGCUGGAGCAUAGGGAUAGGAGUUAGGAGAAACAUGUGACAAGGGUGUUGAAGAUUUGUAAUUGUUGAUGUGGAUGAUGGAGAGGAAGCUGACAGGAUUAUGGGACAGGGAUUAUGGGACAGGAUUAUGGGGACAAAUAAUCCAGGGACAGGAUUAUGGGACAAACCAGAGUCCAAGGGAUAUUUGGGCCAAAAGGCUAGAGUGGGGCCUUUCGGUCUAUUAAAGUGAGAUACUAUUAUAUUAAAUUAUAUACUAAAUUAAAGUAAGAAACCAGAAACUUGAGAAACUUUAAAGUGGUCUUAGGCCACCCGUCACAAGUAACUUGAUUGCCUGGGACUGACCUUUAUUGGUUGAGGGAUGGACAGCUAGCAAGAGAGGGGCUACACAGAAAUGAAUUUGAAACUCCAGACUAUAUGUGGAAGGAAGUUAGAUCAGAAGUGAGCUGAAAGUCUGUGAAUGAAAAAAGGCCCUAGUGUGAUCAAGAUGGUUGUUGGGUAGUUGGAAAUUGGAAUAAUAGAACCUGUAAUCAGAGAGUGGAUUUUGAAACAUUAAGAUUGCAAAACCAGAGUGGUCAAGGUAACUUGUGAAGUGAGGUUGUCAGAUGGUCAGUUACAUAAAUACUGAAGUGACCCGGGACUAUAGCAAAAGCCAAGCUGGGAAUGAACUCUGGAGGCCAGGUGUAACAGGCCUUGAUGCCUGAGGAGUGAUUUAGAGGUUGGCACAUGGCAACUGUGCAGGUGUAAGAGAAGAAACGAUGUAGUGGGAUAGUUGCAUGAGCCACGGAGGAGCGGUAGGGAUCAUUAGAAGUUACCAAAACCAUGAUCUGCACAUUGCUCCGAGGUGUUGGCUUGCAGAAUGCCUAGCUAAAGUGAUCCCCUCCUCUAUCGGGUGCUUGCUCUAUACCCAGCACCUUGCUGUGUGCUAACCAUUUACCCCGUCUGGGUCUGUCACAUAUCAGGUAUGAGAAAAUGAGCAGCAUUCCCGAGCAAGGACAGCUAGGGGAGCUGCUGGCCCUUUGAAUUGACAGAAUGCUGUGGCCGUGUCUACAGACUGGUCAGCUUGAAGUGGCAUCAAAAGAUUUCUUUUCGACCCAAAUUUUUCCUUGACCUUGACCUAACUUUAUCCACGUGGUACAAGUUUGUGUUGGCUGUUCCAUAAUGUACUUUGACUUCUGAGUCUCUGACUUGAGGAGUAUGCUAGAACUGUCCUUUAAAAAACAACAGGCACAGCACAUUAAAAGCACAGAUUAAUUAACUAGAACAAGGGGCCCUGUUACAUAAUUGAGCUUUUAAGAUAAAGGAUAGACAAAAGAAAGCUCCCAUCAGUGUGUAACAACAGCACUUUGUGACAGCCACUCUAAGGUCAGGAUACAUCUAGUUUAGUGGCCAUAUUGUACAUAUUCCCUGUUGUUGUUGGGAAGAAGGGCUGGAAAUUGAUGCAGAGAGAUGUCCCUUAGGACUUGGAAUGUAAAGUUUAGGAGAAGAGAAUCUCCAUGAAUCCUGUGACACUGCAUGUCAUCAUUUUUCCUCUGUUAUAGUCUUUGAAUGAGUCAAUAUUUCAAUGAAGGGGUAGAGCCCUUGAGACAGAGUUCCCAGGCCCUUAGACCGUACGUACAUCCCCUCCUUUGGGGCCGCUUUAUAUUUAUUCCUCAGGAGGAUCUGGUAGAAGACUUCGUGUGAGGAAGAAGAAAAAGAAAGAAGCAGAGAAUCACUACAGCCUGUCUUCAUAUCAGCUUCACAAAGCACCACUCAACAGAGGGCUUACUCUCUUGAGACUCCAGACCACAGGUUGCUCUUUUCAAUUGCACGUUUGGCCCUCUCAGCUACUUCCUACAUUCAGAAAUUGUACUGUAUGUGCAUGUAUGAACUAUCAUUUCCCAUAAAGACUACUCCGUGUUCACAGCAAAAAAAAAAAAAAUCCCUAAAAUAAGGUAUAAUGCUUGUUCUGUUAGGUUUCCAAUAGUCACAAAUUGCUGGAUCUCCACUGCUGUAAUACAGGCCACCAGAGAUGAGUUUGGGUUUCGGAAACAAAGGACCCCAGCUUCCUGGAAGGAAGGCAGUCGGUUGACUUGAAAGUAACCCCUAUCCCUGCAUUCUUAUUAUUUCUUUUUCCUUCAGCCCCUUGACUAAGAUACCACUGAUGAAAGCAAAAAAGCCAUACUUUCCCCUUCUGCUGGCACUUUUCUGGCCUACGUAUAUGCCUUUAGGAGUCACUCUCUCUUUAUCAGCACUUCCUUCUUCCCAUCUCUUAAGACCCAGAGAGUCAUGAAUGCUAGAGUUGGGGUUGAACUUGUCACACCUACCUCCUGCAGUUGGGGAAUACUAAUGUUAAUCAGCCUGAUACCCACUUCCACCUGAUAAUCAUGGCAGCCACUGGAGAAGCUGUAGCUAAGGCCAGCAACCGUAUGGACCCCAGCCCCAAGACUCACUCCUGAUGUCUCAACUGAUUGUGAAAAACUAGUAGGAGGGCUUGCCCCACCCCAGCCCCCUUCUGAGUUGGUCAUCAGAUAUCAGGACUUGUCUUAGGGCCUAUGUUACAUAAGGACAGAUAUCUCAUAAACAGUAUCAGGAGUCCUGGUUACCUUUUAUCUCUCUUGGGGAUGGGCAGGAUAGGGCAUAAGGAUAAGUGGUAAGUCUUGUGCCUUUCAAAUAUAUUCCUAGUGAUUCCUCAGGACACCCUUGGUCACACCAUCUGGUGCCUAAUCCUGGGUCUCGCCUCUUCAAAGCUUUCCUAGUGUGUUCCUUGCUCUCACUAACCACCUUUUAUUUCCUGCCCCAUCCUGAUGGAUUUCAGCAGGUGUUUUUUCUUUUCCCUUCCUCAGGCCGUCUGUAACAGCCUUUCAUCUGGGAGGAGCCUUGUGAAUGAGUGAAUGAAACCUCAGUGAGUGUUUACAAUGACACCCAUGUUUUUCUAUGGAUAUAAGGAGAAAGAAGGCUAUGAAAUGCCAUCAUGGAGUAACAAAAAUUUGACAUUUUAGUGGAUAUUGGACCUAGAAGCCUACAUGAAUGAAGGAAGCAAACCUGAGAUUCUGAUGUUUGUGAGUGAAGAUAGGAGUGAACUCCUUACUGCUAUUAGUAAUGGAAGAAGAGAGGGGAGAAAAGUGAGGGAGGUCAUACAGUCCUUCACUUCAGUGGAGGGAGUGCUGAGACUUGCUUCAUAAACCAGUAACUUAUUAAGGUGGAUUGGAGAGGAAUUGUUGCACUGCACUAUUUCUUUUGCUGUUUGUGUUAAGUCACUGCCAGGCACUGUCCUCAGGUAGAGCUGCCUUUGUGGAGGUUUCUGUUGACCCCUAAUGAGAAACAACCCAGAACAAGGUUUGCGACUUAGAACUCUCUGGUUCAGUGACAGAGUUUUAAAGAGGUUGAGGACAGAGGAAAUAGCACAAGUAGUACCAGAUAGCCUAGUUUUUCUUAUUGGAUGGGCGAGGUAGAGGUAGAGGGCACAAUGAUUCUAGGCAACUCCAAACCCCUGGUAAGGCAUUAGGAAACAAUAUAAUGAAAGGUUAGCCCUUAGACCUAUUGAUUUGUCAUUCCCCAGAGCGUGAUAGAUUAUCUAAAAGAACAAGGAGAGCUGCUUUGGAGAAAAGUUCUAAAAGAUUCUUUCAGAGAACAGAUUUAAAAGAUGGGGAGCUUCCUGUUAUGUAAUAUGGGCAUUACAGCUUUUAAAGACUUCUGUUCCAAAUAGCCAAAUUAUGGAAAGAGCCUAAAUGUCCAUCAGCUGAUGAAUGGAGAAAGAGAUUGUGGUUUAUAUAUACAAUGGAAUACUACCUGGCAAUGAGAAAGAAUGAAAUAAUGGCCUUUUGUAGCAACGUGGGUGGAACUGAAGAGUGUUAUGUUAAGUGAAGUAAGUCACACAGAGAAAGACAGAUACCAUAUGUUUUCACUCUUAUGUGGAUAUGGAGAAACUUAACAGAAGACCAUGGGGGAGGGGAGGAAAAAAAAAAGGAGGGAGCCAAACCAUAAGAGACUCUUAAAAACAGAAUAAACUG